AGACACGCAUUAUUGCGCGCCCUUAAAUUAGUGUCUAAAAAAAACACGGAGGGCACCUAUAAUAAAAUGCGCGUCGUCUAAGGAUGUCGCUUUAUAAUUUUUAAUGGAACGCGCGUUCCAUCCUUUAACAGUAGGGGGAAAUGAAAUUCUGAAAAAAUUAAAAAUCCCGCCUUCCUUUUUUUUCUCCUUUCCCUCUUGCCCUGGACGCUCCUUCCUUCCCCCUCCCGACAUUGACUGCUGCUUACUUCUUCCCUCACUUCUACCUACUGGAACCACCAUAUCUCCCACUCGAUGUUGAAAUUGUUAGAAAAAGCCCUAAUUAUACUCUUAAGUCUAAAUACAGAAAAAAUAGAAGAUGGUGAAGAAGUAGCAGUAGAAAAAGCCCUAAUCGGAGGUGGUCCUGUUCUUCAUUGUUUCUUCGAUGUUGAAAUUGUUAGAAAAAGCCCUAAUCGGAGGUGGUCCUGUUCUUCCUCCCACCACGAUUCCCAGCUUUUGUUCGCCGGAACACCGAUUCCACCGUGGUUUCUGAUCCAUGCUGACCAGUCGUCCCAGUCUUCAACGAUUUUCUGCCAUUGAAAUCCGGAUGGGUUGAAAAGAAAAGGGGCGAACAGCCACGACACGACUAGGAACCACAUUGAGAUGGUUAGGUGGCUCUGUAUUUGGCGCCGCCGUGGAGAAUUGUGCGACCUAAAUAGUGACGUUUGGUGCCAAGAGAGAAGGUGAAGAAGACAGCGGAGAGCUGGAGGUUCAUGAUUAUUAGACACACACACACACACAUAAUUGAAUUCCAUUUCUAGGGCAAUAGCAGGCAACAUCGACACACUCUAAGAUUGCAACCUUCUCACCGUCCGUCUGUUUGGUAUGUCUCCUCCCAACGUUGAUGGUGGUGUUGCCGUCUCAACUACUCAUCUCCCCCACCACCGCCUUCCAUUCCAUCUUUGUUUGCUCCCAAUUCCAUAUUCGUUUGCUACGUGUCCAUCAUAAAUGAUUUUUCUUUUUGUUUUUUUUUUCUGGCAGAGGGACGUCAACUCAAGAAGGGGCGUCAAAAUUUUGAAAUUGGAGAUGGAAAAUUUCUGCUUUCGUCUACGUCUUCUAUGUUCCAUUGUCGGAUCUAACCACCUCUGUAUCCUCGACGAUCGCCUGCAAUAUGGUUGAUUUUGUUGAUGGUUUGAAGGUUUAGGUUCAAUCGAUUGUCCUACUCCAGCCAUGUCACUUUCUUGGCGGAUUCAGUUAGAUUCCCUCGACCUUCGAAUUUCUGGACCUGUAGAUCGAUAGGUGCGAUGGUUGUUAACACUUGCCACUGUUGAAAGGUUCUAUGUCUUUAAUGGUCCGGCCUCAUACCCGGUCCUCAUCUGUUACUCUACCCCUGUAUAAUCACUAAAUCAUCAUAUUCUUUCAAUUUUCUCCAAUUAAAUUCAUUAGUAUUGUUCUGUUCCAUUUCCAAAUACCAUUGAUACGGUAAAAAUCCAUGAGGAUUUGGAGAUAAUACUGACAUGUUUGUUGUUUUGGCUGCCGCCCACCAGGUGUAUGAUUAAAUGCCUAGAUGACUUAUUCUAUUAUGUUAUCAUGGUUUUAUCUGUAUUUUAUCAUCGCUUCAUUUUGUUUUCUUAAUAAAUUACUUUUACCUAUUUUAGAAAAGUCAACCUAGGAUGGGCUUCAUGGUAAAUUAAGAAGAUUUGAGGGACCAUAGAAGGUUGACGCCUCAACAGGUCUCGCCCAUUUUCAUUACUCUUUGAUUUUAGAAUACUUUUGAUAAGGUUUGUUCAAUUUAAUGAUCCCAUCUGCAUCUAGCUUAAUUUAUGAGAUUAAGGGUCUCUCUACUAUGUCUAUGUGAGGGGUAUUCCCUCAUCAUCUGAUUUAUGCUUCAGUUAGUAUUUUUGUUUUGACAUAUAUGAUAAUUCUAGACUUUCACCCACAUAUGUUGAUCUGAUUUUUUAUUUUAAACACCUCUACUUUAAGUUAAUUGCAUAUUUUAAUGUUCUGGGUCCGAUUACCUUGGUUUUAAAAACCAGAACAUUGACUGUAAUCCUGCUUUUAUUGUUCUGGGUGACACCUUCUGAUGUAAAGGAUCAAGUUGAUUUAGAUGUGAAGGAAAACGUUGAUUCUUAUGUGUUUUGAAUAAGUUUCAGAUGGGAAUGGAAUGGUAAUGUGAAGGUGGAGGUGAAAGUGGUUGGCCAUGCAAUGUUUGAUACUUCUAAAGUAGAGAAUAUCAUGGUUUUCAUUUUAGAAUCAUCAAAUUCUACCAAAGGGAAGAGACAGCUUCUUAAGCAAUAUGAAUUUCAUUCCCCUAAUCAACAAUAUUUAGCCCGUUAAUGGUACUUAAUCAUCUAUCAGGUCAACUUUUUCAGAACUUUUAUGCAUUAAAUGACCGCUUUCUAUGCCGAUUUUCCUGCAAACAAUCUUUCUUUUCUUUCCAGACAUGAUUAAAGGCAUGUUUUUGGCUGUAGUUAUUGGACCACCUGUUGUGGUUGCCAUCAUUUUAAUAGUACAGGGAACCAAAAGUGAGGACUUUUUUUCCCCCUGACACUUGAAAUAACAAGGUAAGGAGAGAAUUCUAAACAUUCUGGAAACUUUAAAAGAAGAGGGAAAUAGGGUCUUGUUCAAUGCUUUAGCUGUGUUUGCUCUAAGGGAGAUCAACUUAUCAAAAGUAAGUUACUGUUUCACCCUUUUAUUUAAUAUUUUUGUGAUUGAAUGAAAGUCUUAAUGAAAGUGAUUGACAACCCUUUCUCUGUAAACGAUGUUGUGAUUGUGGGAGAGGUGUUGUGUUUUUCUCUGUUGCUAGGUAACCUUCUCAACAACAACAUUCUACUUAAGCAGGUGAGUAAUCAAGAUUAAGGGAGACUUGUAAUCAUGUUUGACAUUCUUUUCCAGUAAGAAAUAGAGUUGUAUGAUUAUUUGUUAGUUUUAUAGGAAUGUAUAACCCAUGUUAGCAAUGUAUUAUUUUUGUUUAACAUUUGAAUGAUUCUUUGUAUGACAUUACAAUUUGUGUAAUUUAUUUUAUUUUUUGAGUAUGAAAUUU